AUCUAUGUAAUAGCGUCAUAUAUAGGGUUGAUGUUGACUUUUUUCGCUAUGUUGUCAACUGCUUAUUUGCAAUCAAGUUCAAACACACCUUAGAUAAACUCAUACCAUCAAACCACUUUAUGAUUUGCUUCAGCCCUCUUACUUCCGCCUCACGAGAUUGUGGUAAUCCUCGAAACCAAAUUGUCCUAGCGUUUAUAUACUCGCCUUGCCUCCCUCUUAUACACAUCACAAUGCCAUAACAACCUUAUUCCUUGAAAACCGUCGUGUAAGCAUUUCACUUAGAAUUUAUCAAAAUUUUAAGACAAGAUUUAUUAGGAAACAAACAAAUAAUGUCACUCGUUUGUUAGUCCAAGUGUUAUUGUCUUAUGUUAGUUCUCGAAUUCGUGAUCAUAUGUCAUCUUGUAUUAAGACUGUUACUAUUAUUGUAAUGACAUCAUUUUGUAUCAGUAAAAAAAAUUACAAAGUUCUCC
rnacentral:lncRNA from 1 species